rnacentral:rRNA from 1 species
GUGCCAGCCGCCGCGGUAAUACGGAGGGGGUUAGCGUUGUUCGGAAUUACUGGGCGUAAAGCGCGCGUAGGCGGACUAUUAAGUCAGGGGUGAAAUCCCGGGGCUCAACCCCGGAACUGCCUUUGAUACUGGUAGUCUUGAGUUCGAGAGAGGUGAGUGGAAUUCCGAGUGUAGAGGUGAAAUUCGUAGAUAUUCGGAGGAACACCAGUGGCGAAGGCGGCUCACUGGCUCGAUACUGACGCUGAGGUGCGAAAGUGUGGGGAGCAAACAGGAUUAGAUACCCCUGUAGUCC